GGGGACUGCAAGGGAAUAAGUGAGGGGAUAUUGAGGGAUAGUGAUAAUGUGGGAGCAUUACUGAUAACUGGACCUAGGAAGUCUUAAGAAAAUUAAGUUACACAAAAUAUACAGAAUCUUUGGGAUUUUUUCCCACCUAUUUAAUUUUUUUCCUGUCUUAUUUCAGCACAGCUUCCAGUGGUUUUGAUUGCUUCAGUUCAUGCCUGCCUUGCCUAGGAUGUGAAGUUCCCCAGAGCAAGAGGCUGACCCCUGUAUUUGUGAAACAUAUACAGAAAUAACAACACGUGUCAGAAGGCUUAGUGAUAGCUCCUGUGUACGUAAGAUCUGCUCUCCUGUUAGCCAGGGCUCUGCUGCUCUCAUUUGACCUCAUCCCUAGAAG
ensembl:lncRNA